ACUACAGGAUCCCUAGUACUGCGAGUGAAGCGGGAAAAGCUCAAAUUUAAAAUCUGGUGGCCCUUUGGCCAUCCGAGUUGUAAUUUAGAGAAGUGUCUUCCGCGUUGGACCGUGCACAAGUCUCCUGGAAUGGAGCAUCAUAGAGGGUGAGAAUCCCGUCUUUGGCACGGAUGUAUCCAAGGCUUUUUUGUGAUGCGCUCUCGAAGAGUCGAGUUGUUUGGGAAUGCAGCUCAAAAUGGGUGGUGAACUCCAUCUAAAGCUAAAUAUUGGCGAGAGACCGAUAGCGAACAAGUACCGUGAGGGAAAGAUGAAAAGCACUUUGGAAAGAGAGUGAAACAGUACGUGAAAUUGUUGAAAGGGAAACGCUUAAAGUCAGUCGCGUCGGCCGAGACUCAGCCUUGCCCUUGGCUUGGUGUACUUCUCGGUGGGACGGGUCAGCAUCGAUUUUGCCCCUCGAAUAAUGGUGAGGGAAAUGUGACACCUUUCUUAGGUGUGUUAUAGUCUCUUGUCGCAUGCGAGGGGUCGGGAUCGAGGAACUCAGCAUGCACCCUUUGGGUGUCGGGGCUUUGCCCACGAUACGUGCUUAGGAUGUUGGCAUAAUGGCUUUAAACGACCCGUCUUGAAACACGGACCAAGGAGUCUAACAUGUCCGCGAGUGUUCGGGUGGAAAACCCGUGCGCGCAAUGAAAGUGAAAGUCGGGACCUCUGUCGUUGGAGGGCACCGAUGCCCGGACCAGACCUUCUGUGACGGAUCUGCGGUAGAGCGUGCAUGUUAGGACCCGAAAGAUGGUGAACUAUGCCUGAAUAGGGUGAAGCCAGAGGAAACUCUGGGUGGAGGCUCGUAGCGAUUCUGACGUGCAAAUCGAUCGUCAAAUUUG
rnacentral:rRNA from 1 species